GUUUAUCCCGGAGGGCUUGUAGCUCAGUUGGUUAGAGCGCGCGCUUGAUAAGCGUGAGGUCGGAGGUUCAAGUCCUCCCAGGCCCACCAAUUUACCUAUCCAUUUGCCUUUAUCUGUUUAUUUGCCGAUUUAUCGGUCCAUUGAAUUUAAGUGUUGGUAGCAGUUUUAUAAUGAUGAGAAAUCAUGCUUAUAAAAGAACUCCUUAUAAAAGGCUUGUUUUUAAAAUGUGACGCUUAUCCAUUUCGCUUAGGCAAGAGAAACUUCAAGCGGUUCAAAUACAAAAGGCUUUAAGUUUUGCAAAACACUUUGAAUUUUGCAAAACACUUUGAAUUUUAAAGUGAUCCAAGUUCGUGAUCUCGAAUUUAAAAGUUUCGAAUGCUUUAUCCUUUUUUGGGGG
rnacentral:misc_RNA from 2 species